UUACUCACCUGGCGCAGAAGGUUCCGUGAUCAAAAAGGCGGAACUUCCAGGAUAUGGUCCUCCCAUUGCACUAUGGUUGGGUUGACCCCUGCGAAUAUCCCUAAUGUCUCGUCCCGUAAUCUCGGGCGUAUUAUUUUUGGUAGCCCAUUUUAGAUAACUUUUGU